rnacentral:lncRNA from 1 species
GGAAUGACGUGGACUUGUAAACGGCCCCAGAGCUCAAUCCUAUUGGGCAACUGUGAGUUGGUGCCUGGGCCAGCGGCCUGGCUGACGCUUCUUGUUCAUUCUUCUGCCUCAGCCAGUAGGUUUGGCUAGAAUUCUAAGGCCUUAGACUUUGCCGGACUAGAAAAGGAAAGAGGAAAGGGAAGUAAAUCGCCGCAGGGGUCAAACCUGCUUUCCUGUGCUCUUCUGAGCUGCUCUCGGCUCCUGCUCUGCAGAGCUAAAACCUCUAAGGAAGCCACUCUUUUAUCAUCUCCAAAAGAUUACGGGAUCAUAUAGUCUAGGCUGCAACUAUACCAUCUGCUUAUGCCCUCGGAAUUUUAAAAACGAGACCCAUGUUUACAAAUGUGAGCUGACAUGUCACAUUUGUGGAGAAAUAACGAAGUAGCUGCCAGGCGGCAGCAAGAUUCUUCAUGUUCAGAAGCUCCUCCACGUAAAAGCAGGUUACGUCCUGAAAGAUCAUUCUUAAGUGCACUGUUUGUUAGUUCAGUUGCCUAGGAAGGGUUUAAGCUUUCAGCCCUCAGAUUUCUUUCCACCAAACAGGCAUGUUUUCAAUUCACGCACAUGCUCCUCCUCUGAACUGGUGAAUGCACUCUCAGGCAUGUUUUCCCCUAACAAAUCCAUUUUUUUCUACAUUGAAAGUUCCGUUGGGACAGAUAACAUCUGCAAGUAUUGUAAGAAUCUCCUUAGCAGCUUCACAACCUCCACUCCGCUUUGAAGUCAGGCAAAUUCAAAGGCGCCUUAUAUAGAGGAAAUAUCCGUGGCUUGAGGCAAACAUUUCAUCACUCCUAGGCUCGAAGUCUUCAAGCAAACAGCUGGCAUUCUCCCGGACAGGGCUGGUAGACUCUGUGGAUGUCUUGCCUUCAAGCCAUGGCGCUUUAAAUCCUUUGGGGUUUGUCUACUGUGUUUUCUAUCCACUGCUGAUGAUUGUUG